rnacentral:rRNA from 1 species
AGUGAAGGCUGGCGGCAGGCCUAACACAUGCAAGUCGAGCGGCAGCACGGGUAGCAAUACCUGGUGGCGAGCGGCGGACGGGUGAGGAAUACAUCGGAAUCUGCCUAGUCGUGGGGGAUAACGUAGGGAAACUUACGCUAAUACCGCAUACGACCGAGAGGUGAAAGCGGGGGAUCGCAAGACCUCGCGCGAUUAGAUGAGCCGAUGUCGGAUUAGCUAGUUGGCGGGGUAAGAGCCCACCAAGGUGACGAUCCGUAGCCGGCCUGAGAGGGCGGUCGGCCACACUGACACUGACAUACGGGUCAGACUCCUACGGGAGGCAGCAGUCGGGAAUUUUGGGCAAUGGGCGAAAGCCUGACCCAGCAACGCCGCGUGAAGGAUGAAAUCCCUCGGGAUGUAAACUUCGCAAGAACGGGAAGAAUAAGUCGGUGCUAACACCACCGGCGAUGACGGUACUGUUUGUAAGCUCCGGCUAACUCCGUGCCAGCAGCCGCCGUAACAC